rnacentral:rRNA from 1 species
UACAGAGGUCUCAAGCGUUGUUCGGAUUCAUUGGGCGUAAAGGGUGCGUAGGUGGCGCUGUAAGUCGGGUGUGAAAUUUCGGAGCUUAACUCCGAAGCUGCAUUCGAUACUGCGGUGCUUGAGGACUGGAGAGGAGACUGGAAUUCAUGGUGUAGCAGUGAAAAUGCGUAGAGAUCAUGAGGAACACCGAUGGCGAAGGCAGGUCUCUGGGCAUUAACUGACGCUGAGGAGCGAAAAGCAUGGGGGAGCGAACAGG